GGUAUGCGCUGGUUCGGGUACGUAUUUAUAUGGGAGCGUCCAGGUAAUAAUAUGGGGUUCGAUUCUAGCUCAGAUUGAACGCUGGCGGGAUGCUUUACACAUGCAAGUCGAACGGCAGCACGGACUUCGGUCUGGUGGCGAGUGGCGAACGGGUGAGUAAUGUAUCGGAACGUGCCUAGUAGCGGGGGAUAACUACGCGAAAGCGUAGCUAAUGCCGCCACGCCCUUCGGGGAAAGCAGGGGGACCUUCGGGCCUCGCACUAUUAGAGCGGCCGAUAUCGGAUUAGCUAGUUGGUGGGGUAACGGCUCACCAAGGCGACGAUCCGUAUGCUGGAUGAGAGGACGACCAGCCACACUGGGACUGAGACCGGCCCAGACUCCUACGGGAGGCAGCGGUGGGAAUUUACAGACAAUGGGGAAACCCUGAUCCAGCCAUCCCGCGUGUGCGAUGAAGGCCUUCGGGUUGUAAAGCACUUUGGCAGGGAAAGAAACGGCACGGGAUGGCUACCCGUGCAACUGACGGUACCUGCAGAAUAAGCACCGGCUAACUGCGUGCCAGCAGCCGCGGUAAUACGUAGGGUACAUGAUUAAUCAAAUUACUAGAGCGUAAAGCGUACCAGGCCGGUUCGGAAAAAAGAUGUAGAAAUCCCCGAGCUUAACUUUGGAACUGCAUUUUUAACUACCGAGCUAGAGUGUGUUUCAGAGGAGGUGGAAUUCCGCGUGUAGCAGUGAAAUGCGUAGAUAUGCGGAGGAACACCGAUGGCGAAGGCAGCCUCCUGGGAUAACACUGACGCUCAUGCACGAAAGCAUUAAGGAGCAAACAGGAUUAGAUACCCUGGUAGUCCACGCCCUAAAACGAUAUCAACCUAGCCUGUUCGGGGCGCUAGGGCCUUGGUAGCACAGCUAGCGGCGUGAUUGACCGCCUGAAAUGCAGUCGCAAGAUUAAAACUCAAAGGAAUUGGGAUUACACCUGGCGGUGGAUGAUGUGGAUUAAUUCGAUGCAACGCGAAAAACCUUACCCUUGACAUGUCUGGAAUCCGAAGAGAAUUUGGGAGUGCUCGCAAGAGAACCGGAACACAGGUGCUGCAUGGCUGUCGUCAGCUCGUGUCGUGAGAUGUUGGGUUAAGUCCCGCAACAGGGAAGCGCAACCCUUGUCGUGGAUUGCUACGAAGGGCAUCUAAUGAGACUGCCAAGUAUUCAGCCGGAGGAAGGUGGGGAUGACGUCAAGUCCUCAUAGCCCUUAUGGGUAGGGCUUCACCACGUCAUACAAUGGUCAGGACAGAGGGUCGCCAACCCGCGAGGGAGCCAAUCCCAGAAACCCGAUCGUAGUCGGAUCGCAGUCUGCCAACUCUGCAACUGCGCGGUAGUCAGAUAACUAGUAAUCGCUUGAAUCAGCAUCAUCGCGGUGAAUACGUUCCCGGGUCUUGUACACACCGCCCGUCACACCAUGGGAAUGGGUUUUACCAGAAGUAGUUAGCCUAACCGUGGAGGUGAUUACCACGGUAAGUUCAUGACUGGGGGUGAAGUCGUAACAAGGUAG
rnacentral:rRNA from 1 species